AUGCCAGAAUGUGAAUCUUUGUUUUCGAACGGACUAGGUGGUCCACACCAGUGUUUCGGUCAGCGGUUCGAUUCUGCUCAGCUCCAUUCUCCCUUCUGGGCUGUAGUGGUUUCGACGCAGCUCCAGCAGCAGAGCCAGAGUCAUCUGGGUAUCGAGGGGCAUGGGUACGGGCUGCCCAAGCCGUGCUGAUAAGUGUUAGUAGUUCACUAGAACGAACU
rnacentral:tmRNA from 1 species